CCUGGUGGUUUUAGCGAAGAGCCUCAACCCGAUCCCAUUCCGAACUCGGCCGUUAAACUCUUCAGCGCCAAUGGUACUAUGGCUUAAGCCC
rnacentral:rRNA from 1 species